UAUAUCAGCUGUGUAUUAUCAGGGUAUAUAUCAGCUGUGUAUUAUCAGGGUAUAUAUCAGCUGUGUAUUAUCAGGGUAUAUGAAAAAAGACCAUAAUGACAAUAGCAGACCGUUUUUGUUUUUAGAAAAAGUCACAAACUUAAACCAUUCCAUGUGGAGUAUGAACCCCAAUUCCUGUGUAUGUGUGCCGCUGUCUCUCAGACAUCCGUACCGUGGGGACCAGACUGCUGCGUGUUUCCUGUCGGGCCCUGGGGUCUGAAGGGACUAUGACCAAGACAGGAGACUCUGACAGUACUGCUACUUCCGUUGCUGUCCUCAACACCCUGCCCUGGGAACGCACCGAGGUUCUCCCGCUGACAGGGGGCGCUCCUGACCAUCAUCAACCAUGCCUAGCUCUGGUGACAGUCCCCAGUGUUGGUGUAGUUUCUGUCCGUGAUGCCACUGCUACCAAACCUGUCCCUCUGGUCUCCGUCAAGGUUCAGGCUGAUGGUACUGUCCUCAUGGAGAAUGGGAUAUUACGUGCUGUUGUUAAUAAGGAUGGAUGCCUGGCUUCCUUGUACCUGGUCGAGACUAACAGGUAAAAUCCCGUCCUCAGAAGGCGCGUUCACACUGCACCUCAGCCCUGUGGCUAAGAGCCUCCUCAGCCCUGUGGCUAAGAGCCUCCUCAGCCCUGUGGCUAAGAGCCUCCUCAGCCCUGUGGCUAAGAGCCUCCUCAGCCCUGUGUCUAAGAGCCUCCUCAGCCCUGUGUCUAAGAGCCUCCUCAGCCCUGUGGCUAAG
rnacentral:lncRNA from 1 species